GUGCCUUCGAUGUUUGGUGGUGAGCCAAAUCGGCAAUAAUAUCAUUCUCGAUAUUAUCAACAAUCCAAGAAAAUACCACCAAGUCAUCUUCUUCCCAGUCGUCGUAUCCUUUGCUCCCCGGUUCUGGGGGAUCGUUUUUGAUGUAGGAAUAAGCCCCCCGGCCACCAAUCUUGACUUUCAUAAGUCUUGACCAAAGGUCUGAUUUUCUGGUUUGUGGACUAAAAAAAAGCAGAACACAGUCGAGAAAGGUAUAUUGGUUGUGAUGAGGAUUUUCUGAGCCAAAAAAGAUUAUUCCUGCUCUGACGCCAUGUUAAGAUCGAGCUUUUGGCUGGAAAGAAAGAAGGGGAAGAUGUGCUACAUGGUGAGAGCAAGAGAGCUGGAAUUAUUUGGUGUGGUGACACACCAAGUUACUGGGACCUCACAUCCCAUCCAGAUUCAAGAUUCUCAAAGGUUGCUCUGUUAAAAGAAGUUUGCUGGCUUGAAAUCAGAGGCACCAUAA